rnacentral:rRNA from 1 species
ACGCACGCUGGCGGCGUGCCUCAUCCCUGCAAGUCGAACGAGAGCGACCGGUGCUUGCACUGGUCAAUCUAGUGGCGAACGGGUGAGUAACACGUGGGUAACCUGCCCAUCAGAGGGGGAUAACAUCCGGAAACGGAUGCUAAAACCGCAUAGGCCUUCGAACCGCAUGGUUUGAAGAGGAAAAGAGGCGCAAGCUUCUGCUGAUGGAUGGACCCGCGGUGCAUUAGCUAGUUGGUGAGGUAACGGCUCACCAAGGCCGUGAUGCAUAGCCGACCUGAGAGGGUGAUCGGCCACAUUGGGACUGAGACACGGCCCAAACUCCUACGGGAGGCAGCAGUAGGGAAUCUUCCGCAAUGGACGCAAGUCUGACGGAGCAACGCCGCGUGAGUGAAGAAGGUUUUCGGAUCGUAAAACUCUGUUGUUAGAGAAGAACAAGUGCUAGAGUAACUGUUGGCGCCGUGACGGUAUCUAACCAGAAAGCCACGGCUAACUACG